AGCAGCCGCGGUAAUUCCAGCUCCAAUAGCGUAUAUUAAGGUUGUUGCAGUUAAAAAGCUCGUAGUUGAAUUUCGGGAUCAAAGGAUCGGUCAUGCCUUGGUAUGUACUGGUUUUAUUGGUUCUCACCUUCUAAAGAACCAUAAUGCCAUUCAUUUGAUGUUAUGGGGAAUUAGGACUGUUACCUUGAAAAAAUUAGAGUGUUUAAAGCAGGCUUACGCUUGAAUACAUUAACAUGGAAUAAUGAAAUAGGACAUCAGAUUCUAUUUUGUUGGUUUCUAGGAUCGAUGUAAUGAUUAAUAGGGAUAGUUGGGGGCAUUAGUAUUCAAUUGUCAGAGGUGAAAUUCUUGGAUUUAUUGAAGACUAACUACUGCGAAAGCAUUUGCCAAGGAUGUUUUCAUUAAUCAAGAACGAAAGUUAGGGGAUCGAAGACGAUCAGAUACCGUCGUAGUCUUAACCAUAAACUAUGCCGACUAGGGAUCGGAUGAUGUUAAUUUUAUAAUGAUUCAUUCGGCACCUUAC
rnacentral:rRNA from 1 species